GAAUAGAGGCAGGAAGAGGAAAAGCGACAAAAGGAGAGGGAGAGGUCGCCGGAUCCGUUGCCAUCCAUCACAACUCCAACCACCGAUGAGGUCGGACUAUCGCCAAGGUCCGUUUCCAUCAAGCAAAGCAAAGUCAGACUUCAUCUUCCCUGUCAAAGAUGAUAAAAGAAAAAUGCUUUUGGACGAUUGGAUAAGAUGAAUGGAAAUGCAGUGGGGAAAAAGUUAAUGAUUUUGUCCAUACCUUUUAUAUAUUUAUAAUGCAGGCAUGCAGCAGCAAUACAGAAUGGAUUAACAUAGAUAUAGGGUGGAUUACUAUACAAGUCUUUUUAACUUAUUUAGUACAGAUCAAUAGUAUAUACUCGGUACUAUAUAUUUUUACCA